AAUGGGUUAAUCCAGCCUCUAGUGGCUGUCUCUUGACAGCUGCUAGAGGGCUUCCGCGUUUCUCACUGUGAAAAUCACAGUGACAAGACGCCAGCAUCCAUAGGAAAGCAUUGUUAAUGCUUUCCUAUGGACUGGCUGAAUGUGCGCUCGGCUCCUGCCUCGCAUGCGCAUUCAGCUGAAGUGGAGGAGAGCUCCCCGCCCAGCGCUGGAGAAAGAGGUAAGUUUAACCCCUUCCUCUCCCUAGAGCCUGGCGGGAGGGGGACCCUGAGGGUGGGGGCACCCUCAGGGCACUAUAGUGCCAGGAAAACGAGUAUGUUUUCCUGGCACUAUAGUGGUCCUUUAACAGACAGCAUAGCCCCAUGGAGGGGUUAGAUAUUAAUUUCACACAAAUUGUGUCUCAUUUUAACUUUCCUUCGGUGGGUUCUCUCUUUCUCUAGGCCUACAGACAUUAUUCUAAAAUCUGGCAGACUAACUAGUUUGGGUCAAAAUAUAUAUAUUUUAGAAAAUGCGGGUUUCUUUAUAUUGUCUGUUCUAAAUUAAAGAAUUCUAAAAA